rnacentral:rRNA from 1 species
UAUUUUGACUAUACAAAGGUAUUGAAAUAAGACUUUAAUUGAGUGCUAAGAGAAUGGACUUUCAAAAAAAUGCUUUCUUAAUUUUAAAAAUUGAAAUUAUUUUUUUUUGUGAAGAAACAACAAUAAAAAUUAAAGACAAGAAGACCCUAAGAAUUUUUAUAAAUUUAUUAUAUUAAUAUACAAUACAUUUAUUUAAUUGGGGCGAUUUGAAAAUAUUUAAAACUUUUUAAAAACUAAUAAGAUCCAUUAAUAAUGAUUUUAUGAAAAAAAUACUCUAGGGAUAACAGCGUAAUAAUUUUAGAUAGAUCUUAUAGAAAAAAUAGUUUGCGACCUCGAUGUUGGAUUAGGAUUCUUAUUUAAUGAAGAAGUUAAAAAAAGAAGUUUGUUCAACUUUUAAAUUCCU